rnacentral:rRNA from 1 species
AUUGAACGCUGGCGGCAUGCUUUACACAUGCAAGUCGAACGGUAACAGGGUGCUUGCACCGCUGACGAGUGGCGAACGGGUGAGUAAUGCGUCGGAACGUGCCGAGUAGUGGGGGAUAACGCAGCGAAAGUUGUGCUAAUACCGCAUACGUACUGAGGUAGAAAGUGGGGGACCUUCGGGCCUCACGCUAUUCGAGCGGCCGACGUCUGAUUAGCUAGUAGGUGAGGUAAAGGCUCACCUAGGCGACGAUCAGUAGCGGGUCUGAGAGGAUGAACCGCCACACUGGGACUGAGACACGGCCCAGACUCCUACGGGAGGAAGCAGUGGGGAAUUUUGGACAAUGGGCGAAAGCCUGAUCCAGCCAUGCCGCGUGUCUGAAGAAGGCCUUCGGGUUGUAAAGGACUUUUGUCAGGGAGGAAAUCCCUAGUGCUAAUAACACUGGGGGAUGACAGUACCUGAAGAAUAAGCACCGGCUAACUACGUGCCAGCAGCCGCCGUAA